rnacentral:rRNA from 1 species
GGAAUUUUCCGCAAUGGGCGAAAGCCUGACGGAGCAAUACCGCGUGAGGGAGGAAGGCUCUUGGGUUGUAAACCUCUUUUCUCAGGGAAUAAGCAAGUGAAGGUACCUGAGGAAUCAGCAUCGGCUAACUCCGUGCCAGCAGCCGCGGUAAUACGGAGGAUGCAAGCGUUAUCCGGAAUGAUUGGGCGUAAAGCGUCCGUAGGUGGCUGUGUGUGUCUAUUGUUAAAGAGUUUGGCUCAACCAAAUAAGGGCGGUAGAAACUACACAGCUAGAGUGCGUUCGGGGCAGAGGGAAUUCCUGGUGUAGCGGUGAAAUGCGUAGAGAUCAGGAAGAACACCGGUGGCGAAAGCGCUCUGCUAGGCCGCAACUGACACUGAGGGACGAAAGCUAGGGGAGCGAAUGGGAUUAGAUACCCCAGUAGUC